UACGUAGGGCGCAAGCGUUGUCCGGAAUUAUUGGGCGUAAAGAGCUCGUAGGCGGUCUGUCACGUCGGCUGUGAAAACCCGGGGCUCAACCCCGGGCCUGCAGUCGAUACGGGCAGACUGGAGUCCGGCAGGGGAGACUGGAAUUCCCGGUGUAGCGGUGAAAUGCGCAGAUAUCGGGAGGAACACCGGUGGCGAAGGCGGGUCUCUGGGACGGUACUGACGCUGAGACGCGAAAGCGUGGGGAGCGAACAGG
rnacentral:rRNA from 1 species